CGAGUCUUUGCAGUAAUGCAAGGCAUACGGCUCAGUAACACGUAGUCAACCUACCCUAUGGACGAGAAUAAUCUCGGGAAACUGAGCAUAAUUCUUGAUAGAUCAUAAUGCCUGGAAUGGUUUAUGGUUAAAAUGAUUCGUCGCCAUAGGAUGGGACUGCGGCCUAUCAGCUUGUUGGUGAGGUAAUGGCCCACCAAGGCGAUUACAGGUACGGGCUCUGAGAGGAGAAGCCCGGAGAUGGGUACUGAGACACGGACCCAGGCCCUAUGGGGCGCAGCAGGCGAGAAAACUUUGCAAUGUGCGAAAGCACGACAAGGUUAAUCCGAGUGAUUUCUGCUAAAGAAAUCUUUUGCCAGUCGUAAAACCGCUGGUGAAUAAGGGGUGGGCAAGUUCUGGUGUCAGCCGCCGCGGUAAAACCAGCACCUCAAGUGGUCAGGAUGAUUAUUGGGCCUAAAGCAUCCGUAGCCGGCUUUGUAAGUUUUCGGUUAAAUCCAUGUGCUCAACGCAU
rnacentral:rRNA from 1 species